rnacentral:tRNA from 1 species
AGCAGUGUUGCUUAAUGGAUAGAGUACAGGCCUGGGAGUCUGAAAGACCCAGGUUCUAAUCCCGGUUCUGCUA